rnacentral:rRNA from 1 species
GCAAAACGCGAAGAACCUUACCAGGUCUUGACAUCCCGGUGACCACUAUGGAGACAUAGUGUCCCUUCGGGGGAACUGAGACAGGUGGUGCAUGGUUGUCGUCAGCUCGUGUCGUGAGAUGUUGGGUUAAGUCCCGCAACGAGCGCAACCCUUAUUGAUAGUUACUAACGCGUAGAGGCGAGGACUCUAUUGAGACUGCCGGGGACAACUCGGAGGAAGGUGGGGACGACGUCAAAUCAUCAUGCCCCUUAUGACCUGGGCUACACACGUGCUACAAUGGCCGAUACAGAGAGAAGCGAAAGCGCGAGCCGGAGCGGAUCUCACAAAAGCGGUCGAAGUUCGGAUUGUGGGCUGCAACCCGCCCACAUGAAGUCGGAGUUGCUAGUAAUCGCGGAUCAGCAUGCCGCGGUGAAUACGUUCCCGGGUCUUGUACACACCG